rnacentral:rRNA from 1 species
AGUGAACGCUGGCGGUAGGCCUAACACAUGCAAGUCGAACGGCAGCACAGUAAGAGCUUGCUCUUACGGGUGGCGAGUGGCGGACGGGUGAGGAAUACAUCGGAAUCUACUUUUUCGUGGGGGAUAACGUAGGGAAGCUUACGCUAAUACCGCAUACGACCUACGGGUGAAAGCAGGGGAUCUUCGGACCUUGCGCGAUUGAAUGAGCCGAUGUCGGAUUAGCUAGUUGGGGGGGUAAAGGCCCACCAAGGCGACGAUCCGUAGCUGGUCUGAGAGGAUGGUCGGCCACACUGGAACUGGGACACGGUCCAGACUCCUACGGGAGGCAGCAGUGGGGAAUAUUGGACAAUGGGCGCAAGCCUGAUCCAGCCAUACCGCGUGGGUGAAGAAGGCCUUCGGGUUGUAAAGCCCUUUUGUUGGGAAAGAAAAGCAGCAGGUUAAUACCCCGCUGUUCUGACGGUACCCAAAGAAUAAGCACCGGCUAACUUCGUG